rnacentral:rRNA from 1 species
UAGGGAAUCUUCGGCAAUGGGGGGAACCCUGACCGAGCAACGCCGCGUGAGUGAAGAAGGUUUUCGGAUCGUAAAGCUCUGUUGUUAAGGAAGAACGAGUGUGAGAAUGGAAAGUUCAUGCUGUGACGGUACUUAACCAGAAAGGGACGGCUAACUACGUGCCAGCAGCCGCGGUAAUACGUAGGUCCCGAGCGUUGUCCGGAUUUAUUGGGCGUAAAGCGAGCGCAGGCGGUUAGAAAAGUCUGAAGUGAAAGGCAGUGGCUCAACCAUUGUAGGCUUUGGAAACUGUUUAACUUGAGUGCAGAAGGGGAGAGUGGUAUUCCAUGUGUAGCGGUGAAAUGCGUAGAUAUAUGGAGGAACACCGGUGGCGAAAGCGGCUCUCUGGUCUGUAACUGACGCUGAGGCUCGAAAGCGUGGGGAGCGAACAGG